AAGGAGUCCAAGAUGAUGUCCAGGAGUUGGAUUCGGUCAACGUUGGGAUCCUGGAGACGCCUCUGCCCGGCGUGAGAGAGGAGCUGGAAGCCCUUCUGCGGCAGAAGCGCCUGGCUGUGUCUCUGGAAGCCUUGGGUGGGGAGCGCUGACGACAUCGGUGUCCUGUCCUCCUCCGGCGGCACCGGGAACCUGCUGGAACCUUCCGCCAGUCCCCGCUGAGCCCAGCGCCGUUUCCCCUGGAUCAUCAAUAAACCCUCUCUGCAAUAAA